rnacentral:rRNA from 1 species
AGAGUUUGAUCCUGGCUCAGAACGAACGCUGGCGGCGUGCCUAACACAUGCAAGUCGUACGAGAAAAUCCGCUUCGGCGGGUGAGUAAAGUGGCGCACGGGUGAGUAACGCGUGGAUAAUCUGCCUUUAAGCGGGGAAUAACUUACCGAAAGGUGGGCUAAUACCCCAUAAAGCUAUGGAACUCCGGUUUUCAUAGCCAAAGAGAGCCUCUGCAUGCAAGCCCUCACUUAGAGAUGAGUCCGCGUACCAUUAGCUAGUUGGUGGGGUAAUGGCCUACCAAGGCGACGAUGGUUAGCUGGUCUGAGAGGAUGAUCAGCCACACUGGAACUGAGACACGGUCCAGACUCCUACGGGAGGCAGCAGUGAGGAAUAUUGCGCAAUGGGGGCAACCCUGACGCAGCAACGCCGCGUGAGUGAGGAAGGUUUUCGGAUCGUAAAGCUCUGUCGGGUGGGAAGAAAUGUAUGGAGGUUAACAGCCUUUGUACUUGACGGUACCGCCAAAGGAAGCACCGGCUAACUCCGUGCCAGCAGCCGCGGUAAUACGGGGGGUGCUAGCGUUGUUCGGAAUCAUUGGGCGUAAAGAGCGUGUAGGCGGCUAGGCAAGUCAGAUGUGAAAUCCCUGGGCUUAACCCAGGACGUGCAUUUGAAACUGCUUGGCUUGAGUAGGGAAGAGGGAAGUGGAAUUCCUGGUGUAGAGGUGAAAUUCGUAGAUAUCAGGAGGAACACCGGUGGCGAAGGCGACUUCCUGGUCCUAUACUGACGCUGAGACGCGAGAGCGUGGGGAGCAAACCAGGAUUAGAUACCCUGGUAGUCCACGCCGUAACCGAUGUUCAAGAGGUGUUGAGGGUAUUGACCCCUUCAGUGCCGAAGCUAACGCAUUAAUGAACCGCCUGGAGAC